AACGAACGCUGGCGGCAUGCCUAACACAUGCAAGUCGAACGAUGCUUUCGGGCAUAGUGACGCACGGGUGCGUAACGCGUGGGAAUCUGCCCUUGGGUUCGGAAUAACAGUGAGAAAUUGCUGCUAAUACCGGAUGAUGUCUUCGGACCAAAGAUUUAUCGCCCAGGGAUGAGCCCGCGUAGGAUUAGCUAGUUGGUGGGGUAAUGGCCUACCAAGGCGACGAUCCUUAGCUGGUCUGAGAGGAUGAUCAGCCACACUGGGACUGAGACACGGCCCAGACUCCUACGGGAGGCAGCAGUGGGGAAUAUUGGACAAUGGGCGCAAGCCUGAUCCAGCAAUGCCGCGUGAGUGAUGAAGGCCUUAGGGUUGUAAAGCUCUUUUACCCGGGAUGAUAAUGACAGUACCGGGAGAAUAAGCUCCGGCUAACUCCGUG
rnacentral:rRNA from 1 species